CUACGUGCCAGCAGCCGCGGUAAUACGUAGGGUGCGAGCGUUGUCCGGAAUUACUGGGCGUAAAGAGCUCGUAGGUGGUUUGUUGCGUCGUCUGUGAAAUUCCGGGGCUUAACUUCGGGGUGGCAGGCGAUACGGGCAUAACUAGAGUGCUGUAGGGGAGACUGGAAUUCCUGGUGUAGCGGUGGAAUGCGCAGAUAUCAGGAGGAACACCGAUGGCGAAGGCAGGUCUCUGGGCAGUAACUGACGCUGAGGAGCGAAAGCAUGGGGAGCGAACAGGAUUAGAUACCCUGGUAGUCCAUGCUGUAAACGGUGGGCGUUAGGUGUGGGGACCGGUUUGGUUUCUGUGCCGUAGCUAACGCAUUAAGCGCCCCGCCUGGGGAGUACGGCCGCAAGGCUAAAACUCAAAGGAAUUGACGGGGGCCCGCACAAGCGGCGGAGCAUGUGGAUUAAUUCGAUGCAACGCGAAGAACCUUACCUGGGUUUGACAUGCACCAGACGGUUGUAGAGAUACGUA
rnacentral:rRNA from 1 species